rnacentral:rRNA from 1 species
UACAGAGGGGGCAAGCGUUGUUCGGAAUUACUGGGCGUAAAGGGCGCGUAGGCGGCCUGCUAAGUCGAACGUGAAAUCCCUGGGCUCAACCCAGGAACUGCGUCCGAUACUGGUUGGCUUGAAUCCGGGAGAGGGACGUGGAAUUCCAGGUGUAGCGGUGAAAUGCGUAGAUAUCUGGAGGAACACCGGUGGCGAAGGCGACGUCCUAGACCGGUAUUGACGCUGAGGCGCGAAAGCCAGGGGAGCAAACGGG